rnacentral:rRNA from 1 species
UACGUAGGGGGCAAGCGUUAUCCGGAAUUACUUGGUGUAAAGGGAGCGUAGACGGCAAUGCAAGUCCGGAGUGGAAUGCGGCAGCUCAACUGCCGAACUGCUCUGGAAACUGUAUGGCUUGAGUGCAGGAGGGGUAAGCGGAAUUCCUGGUGUAGCGGUGAAAUGCGUAGAUAUCAGGAGGAACACCGGUGGCGAAGGCGGCUUACUGGACUGUAACUGACGUUGAGGCUCGAAAGCGUGGGGAGCAAACAGG